rnacentral:rRNA from 1 species
UACGUAGGGUGCAAGCGUUGUCCGGAAUUAUUGGGCGUAAAGAGCUCGUAGGCGGUUCGUCGCGUCGGCUGUGAAAUCCCGAGGCUCAACCUCGGGUCUGCAGUCGAUACGGGCGGACUGGAGUUCGGCAGGGGAGACUGGAAUUCCUGGUGUAGCGGUGAAAUGCGCAGAUAUCAGGAGGAACACCGGUGGCGAAGGCGGGUCUCUGGGCCGAUACUGGCGCUGAGGAGCGAAAGCGUGGGGAGCGAACAGG